CACGUGGGGAGCAAGCGUUGUUCGGAAUCACUGGGCGUAAAGGGCGUGUAGGCGGUCAGGUUAGUGAGAUGUGAAAUGCCCCGGCUCACCCGGGGACCUGCAUCUCAAACUGCCUGGCUUGAGUAUGGGAGAGGAUGAGGGAAUUCCUGGUGUAGCGGUGAAAUGCGUAGAUAUCAGGAGGAACACCGGUGGCGAAAGCGCUCAUCUGGCCCAAUACUGACGCUGAGGCGCGAAAGCUAGGGGAGCAAACGGG
rnacentral:rRNA from 1 species